GAUGAACGCUAGCGGCAGGCUUAACACAUGCAAGUCGAGGGGUAUUGGUUUUCGGACCAAGAGACCGGCGCACGGGUGCGUAACGCGUAUGCAAUCUACCUUUUGCAGAGGGAUAGCCCCAGAGAAAUUUGGAUUAAUACCUCAUAGUAUAGUACUUUUGGCAUCAAGGAACUAUUAAAGUCACAACGGCAAAAGAUGAGCAUGCGUCCCAUUAGCUAGUUGGUAAGGUAACGGCUUACCAAGGCUACGAUGGGUAGGGGUCCUGAGAGGGAGAUCCCCCACACUGGUACUGAGACACGGACCAGACUCCUAC
rnacentral:rRNA from 1 species